AUGGGCCUACGGGACGCAGCAGUGAGGAAUAUUGGUCAAUUGGCGCGAGCCUGAACCAGCCAAGUCGCGUGAGGGAAGACGGUCCUAUGGAUUGUAAACCUCUUUUGUCGGGGAGCAAAAGAUGCCACGCGUGGCGUUCCGAGAGUACCCGAAGAAAAAGCAUCGGCUAACUCCGUGCCAGCAGCCGCAGUAAUACGGAGGAUGCGAGCGUUAUCCGGAUUUAUUGGGUUUAAAGGGUGCGCAGGCGGAAGAUCAAGUCAGCGGUAAAAUUGAGAGGCUCAACCUCUUCGAGCCGUUGAAACUGG
rnacentral:rRNA from 1 species